GUUCGCUGACCUAGAAAUUUCAAUUCAGAAACCCAUCCAUCUCUGUUUCUUUCGCCUCUCUUCUGUGAUGAGAAUCAAGCACAGAGAGACUAGAUGCUGAUCAAAACGCUGCGUUUCGUCGGCGAUCGAAAUCCGUAUCAGAAUGUAAUCAAAUGGUACGCUCUGAUAAUUAUUUUGGAAAGAACAAAAUCAUGUGGUUUUCGUUAUGGAUAUCCAGGGACCGAUUCUGUUCCAGUGAGCUCAGGGAACUUAUGUUGAACGAAAUAAGUCCUGCUCAACCAUAGAAGGUCGCUUUCCAAAGUUUAGGAAAUGGUUCGGUCAGGAUUGACAAGCGGUCAGGGAUCAGUUUCUGAAAAAUCUGUAAUCAUUAGUUGUUUUGGUGGACACACUUUACUGUUCCAGUAACGGAACAUUAUGGAUGUGUAGUUCUAGCCUUCUAGGAUAGUUUAUAUCAAGGGCAAUGGGUUUUAUGGAAAUACUAAUGGCCUUUUGAAUUAUCAGACUGUUGUAUUAUGUUACCUCUUGGAUGUGCAUUGAUUAGUAGCCUUGCUAUUCAAAAUUGCAUACUAAUGAAACCUCGUGGACAAUGGAUUUUAUGUGUUUCCAUUGAUACUAA